AACGAACGCUGGCGGCAGGCUUAACAUAUGCAAGUCGAACGCAUCCUUCGGGGUGAGUGGCAGACGGGUGAGUAACGCGUGGGAACGUGCCCUUCAGUUCGGGAUAACCCAGGGAAACUUGGGCUAAUACCGGAUACGUGCGAGAGCAGAAAGAUUUAUCGCUGAAGGAUCGGCCCGCGUCUGAUUAGCUAGUUGGUGGGGUAAUGGCCCACCAAGGCGACGAUCAGUAGCUGGUCUGAGAGGAUGAUCAGCCACAUUGGGACUGAGACACGGCCCAAACUCCUACGGGAGGCAGCAGUGGGGAAUAUUGGACAAUGGGCGCAAGCCUGAUCCAGCCAUGCCGCGUGAGUGAUGAAGGGCUUAGGGUUGUAAAGCACUUUCGUCCGGGACGAUAAUGACGGUACCGGAAGAAGAAGCCCCGGCUAACUUCGUGCCAGCCGCCGCCGUAA
rnacentral:rRNA from 1 species